GGAGGUAGAGUGCAUGCUUAGCAUGCCGAAGGUCCUGGGUUCAAUUCCCAGUACCUCCC
rnacentral:tRNA from 1 species